UUAAUAUUACCUCCAUCCCAAAUUAGUUGUCAUAGAUUUGUCUAGAUACGGAUGUAAGUAACACUAAAUUGUGUUUAAAUACAUCCUUAUCUAGAUAAAUAUAAACAACUAAUUCGGGACGAAGGGAGUAUAUG
rfam:Triticum aestivum genome assembly, contig: Triticum_aestivum_CS42_TGACv1_scaffold_592803_7BS